rnacentral:rRNA from 1 species
AUUGAACGCUGGCGGCAGGCUUAACACAUGCAAGUCGAGCGGGGUGAUGGUGCUUGCACUAUCACUUAGCGGCGGACGGGUGAGUAAUGCUUAGGAAUCUGCCUAUUAGUGGGGGACAACAUCUCGAAAGGGAUGCUAAUACCGCAUACGCCCUACGGGAGAAAGCAGGGGAUCACUUGUGACCUUGCGCUAAUAGAUGAGCCUAAGUCGGAUUAGCUAGUUGGUGGGGUAAAGGCCUACCAAGGCGACGAUCUGUAGCGGGUCUGAGAGGAUGAUCCGCCACACUGGGACUGAGACACGGCCCAGACUCCUACGGGAGGCAGCAGUGGGGAAUGUUGGACAAUGGGGGGAACCCUGAUCCAGCCAUGCCGCGUGUGUGAAGAAGGCCUUAUGGUUGUAAAGCACUUUAAGCGAGGAGGAGGCUCUUUUGGUUAAUACCCAAGAUGAGUGGACGUUACUCGCAGAAUAAGCACCGGCUAACUCUGUGCCAGCCGCCGCAGUAA